CGCGGUAAUACGGGGGGCGCAAGCGUUGCUCGGAAUCACUGGGCGUAAAGCGUACGCAGGCGGCGCGUUAAGUCGGGUGUGAAAGCCCGGGGCUCAACCCCGGAACUGCCCUUGAUACUGGCGAUCUUGAGUAUGAGAGAGGUAUGUGGAACUCCGAGUGUAGAGGUGAAAUUCGUAGAUAUUCGGAAGAACACCAGUGGCGAAGGCGACAUACUGGCUCAUUACUGACGCUGAGGCGCGAAAGCGUGGGGAGCAAACAGGA
rnacentral:rRNA from 1 species